rnacentral:rRNA from 1 species
UACGUAGGGGGCAAGCGUUAAUCGGAAUUACUGGGCGUAAAGCGUGCGCAGGCGGCUUUGCAAGUCAGAUGUGAAAUCCCCGGGCUUAACCUGGGAACUGCAUUUGUGACUGCAUGGCUCGAGUACGGUAGAGGGGGAUGGAAUUCCGCGUGUAGCAGUGAAAUGCGUAGAUAUCAGGAGGAACACCUGUGGCGAAAGCGGCUCACUGGACCAUAACUGACGCUGAUGCACGAAAGCUAGGGGAGCAAACAGG